GAGUUGUGAAGAGAAGUGAUAGAAAAAUUCUCUUAACCUUGACAGUUUUUUUGCACAUCAUUUGAGGUUUUCUGAACUUGUAAUUCAUGGGCUCUCUGCUGGCCUUGUCCUCUCCCUUUAGUGGGCAUGGCGGCCACCAGCCCCAUACAGGAUGUUUGCAGACAGGAACACUGUCCUGCUGCUGCCAUGCAGCUCCCAAGAAGCUCACCAUGUGGUAUCCACCUCUUAUAGCCAGGAGCUAGGAUGAGCCAUGGUAAGAGCCACACUAACCCCUUUCUUUGAGGAUCCAUGAGGUGAUUCAGAGCAAGAAGGCCCAGCCGUGAAGCCAUGUCCAUGGGCACAUGCACACACAUAUUGGUUAUAAUUUAUAGCAUCUAUGAAAAGCCAAAACAGACAGUCCAUUCUUGUGAUGGAAGGAGGUGAGGGAGAGGCAUUCUGGAAACACCUUGGCCUGGUGCAGACACAAAGCCUGGAUGAGCUCAUAAAUCCCCCAUUCUGAUGGUCAUGAUGUGACCCAGUGGUAACUAGAAAUAUGCUUGAUGGUAUGGGACCACUGCCAGGCACACAUCAGGCAUGGUGCCCACCUGCUUAGGCUGAGAGGGAGGUGGGAAAAGGAGAAAAAGGAUGAGAGGAUUGGGGUAAAGUGGGGGAGGGAGGGGAGAGAGAGACUGCUGAUAGGAAAAACAGGCAACUCUUGGAAGCCAUUUCUCUAGCUUCUCUCCUAAGCUUCAUGGAGAGAGAGAGCAAGGCUCAACAUGGACCAGGAGCAACCCUCUGAGAAGCAUCCAUGAACAUUGUAGAAAACUGUGGUUGAGAUGGCGAAGCAGAGACAAAUUUUGGUUCUGACCAUAGACAACUCCUGAGGCCCCUCAAGGUUCCCUGCAGUGGCACUUACACACUCUGAUCUCAUAUCGGCAAUAGACAGGGGCCACAAAAGCUGGGAACAUGAGGCUGUUCCAUACUCUGCCACAGGAGCCAGUUGCUGCCUCUUUCUGCGACCUACACACAGCAUGCCCCAGUAGCUCCAAGGCCCAUGGAUACAUGCAGACAUGAUGAGCUCUGAGGAACUCAGAGACCUUGGCACCUUUUGAAGACAUCUUGAAGGACCCCUGUGCCAGCCUUGCCUAUACUCUAAGGUGCUCAGUUGUGUGCCUGUGGCAGCCAUUUCAGGCCACUGGUGGGGGUGCCUGCUGGUUCCUCACCUGGCUGCAGCUGCUCACCCACUCUUUAGAAUCUGCCUACCAUAGGAAGGGUAGAAGUGGGACCCUUUCUUGAGUCUUCUGGAUGAGCAAGAAGCACAGGCACCUCUGGUCCUUUGGGAAGACUUCAGUGGGUAUUUUAGGACCUGUGAAGAGAAAAACCAGCCUUCACAGGCUCAACCUUCCUUGUCCAGAAGGUCUCAGAUGUGCAUGAGUCCCACAGGAGAAACCCCAAAGUCAUAUAGAAGACCCUGGACUGAGCCUCGGGGCCCCUCCUCAGAGACCCAGUUCAGCUACCAGGUGGCUGCUGAGUGAGACCUGUUGGAGGAGUGCCUGGGCCUUUCUCUGGGGCAUGUGGGUCCAGGGAACCUCAUCUCUGCCACACAUGUUGGAAGCAGCUUAUGGCAUAACAUGUUUUAUCCCCAAAAAGUUGUUCAUAAACUAGAUUUCUGUAAUGGGGAUCCCAGUUCACAGAUGUGUCAUUUUUAAAGGUAUCCUGCAUUAGGGUCAAGUGGAAUGCUCUUACAAAGGGGGUGAUCAUGUGAGCCAUUGCCUCGUUCUGCUGGCUUUGGUUUGGGGACUCCAGAGCUGGCAGAGAAGGGUCUUGUGUUGAUGAGGAUAUGCAGGUCUCAUGGGAGCAAGUCAAGGCAGCAGCAACAUUGAGAAGCUGGCCCUAUACCUGGGCAGUAAGUGGCUGGGUCCCCAAGAUUCAGCCCUGCCACUCCUGGUCUGAAGAAGAGGUAUGGGGCCAGGUGUGAUAAUGAGAGCACAGCUGUAAGAGGAGAUUGUCCUUUGUGGCUCAUAGGAGGAGACCCAGGACAUAGAUCAGUGACAAGAAGAUAAUCUGGGAAGAUCUGGGCCCUGGAGUCACAGAGGGCCUCUGCCUGUCCCUGAUGGUCAAUGACAACCAUGGUCACUGUCCUAUCUUCUGGCAUUCACCCUCUCAGCUGUUGUCCCUCCCAGAGUCUCUGAGUGUCCAUGUCACACUCUUUCCUGGGGUCUCCUUCCUAGCACCAGAUCCAGGGGCAGGUUUCACACACUCUAUGCCCAGAGUGGGGCUUGUGUGGCUAACUGGAGAAGAAGCAAUUUGCAAGAAGAGCCCUCCUUGCAAAGAGGGAGGAAUUCAACAUGUGGGAAGGGUGGUCCUAUUCUGUUCACUGGGACAGAAGAAUUUGGGAGCAAGAAGCUCCAACAUGAGACAACAGGUGCGCUGCUUCUUUUGCUGCUCUCAGACACCCUCCAUCCUGGUGAAGCCCACACAUUAUUUGCCAGACUUCCAUAUGUGGCUGGAGUAAUCCUCCCCUUCAGUCACAAACCUACAGGUCCUGCCAGCCCCUGCUGAGUAUAGCAUCACCAGGGGAGGCUGAGCAGAGCUUUUCCUUUCUCCUGGUCCUCAGCUUCCCAGUCUCUUCUAUUCCUGAGCCUUAACCCUGAACUACAUUCUCCCUCCUCCAAGUUUUUUCCCAGAGCUAGUGCCCCCUCAUCACUGCACAGUCAGUGAAUGAGUACGUAAAUACAUGAAUAAACAAAUUUCCUUCGUUCACACGUAAGUAGUGCCAUGGAAGUCUAGGAAUCAAGAUACAGGCAGGGUGGAAUGUGGAGAAAGUAUUCUAGAUGGCUUUGUAUUAGAUACUUGAGUGUGGAAAGUGUCACCCUCAGACACCCCAUACAGAGAUGACUGUGGUUCUCUGGCAUCAUACCUCUGUGCCACUUCCUCUGCAGGACACACUCUCCCUGAAGUCCACAGAAACACCCUUGAAGGACACUGGUUCUUGGACACAUGGUGGGUAUUCUUGUUCAGCCUGCACCAUCUCUGGCAAUGCCCACAGGCGAUGGUCAAGGACUACAUUUCUUUCCACUGGGAAAAGGUAGCUCUGUAUAUUAAAUCUUCAAGAUCUGCUUGAGGCCCAGUCAAGUAUUCUCCAGGCUGACUUGACAUAUGACUUAUCCACACAGAUGCAUACACACUCUUAAUACAUGACAACCCUUACCAUGAGGACAUGACAUAGGUGUGGUGUAAAUAUCCUGACCAUUCUACCACGAGAUGGUAAAUGUGACUACUCACCGAUGAUUCUAAAAUACUUGAAAAUUUAUUAAUAACCUCUAAUCCCAGGUAUUUUAAUUAAAUAUGUGAACUAACUACAUGCAAGCAAUCAUGUCAUGCAUCUUAUUAACUGUGACUAUAGAUAAAUGAUUCCCCAAUCUGAAACUCACAAUUCUCAUCUGUGAAAUUAUUUAAGAAUGCUUUUAGUGCUAUUAAAUGUUUUAAAUGCCUUUUUUUUUUUUUUUUUUUUUUGAGAAAGAGUCUCACUCUGUUGCCCAGGCUGAAGUGCAGUGGCAUGAUCUUGGCUCAGUGCAACCUCCACCUCCUGGGCUCAAGCAGUUCUCCUGCUGCAGCUUCCCAAGUAGCUAGGCUUACACAUGUCCACUACCAUGCUGAGCUAAUAUUUUGUAUUUUAAGUAGAGAUAGGGUUUCAUCAUUUUGUCCGCACUUGCCUUGAACUUCUGACCUCAUGAUCCACCCUCCUCAGCCUCUUGGAUUACAAGCAUGAGCCACUGUGCCUGGCCUGAAGGUGCUUCUUAUAUAACAAAAUACAAUAAAUAAAUGCUGCAGGUAUAUUAUUUAUUAAAAUAUUAUUGACCUUUUGUACAAUGUUUGUCAUUCUGCAUGACUUAUCAGACUUUGUACAGAACCUGGGUUAUCACCUGCUAUCUCUCUCAUCUGACCACAGAUCAGGUGUCAUUACCAAAUGUGAGGACAGAUAGGUUUAGCUUCACAUGCCCAUAGUUUCUGGGACAGCUGUGCCGAAGGAUGGUCCUAGUCUGAUCCUUCCUGUAGAAUGAAGUCUCCAUUUCUCUCCUGUUUAUUUUGGAUCUUCAUAGCUUUCAUUAUGAUUAUCUCUCUUAUAGCUUCCUCUUGUCUCUUGUCCUCCUAAAUGCACCACAGAUGAAUGUGUGCUAUUCAGGGCAGAAAAGGCAGUUCCUAGUCUCCUGCCAGCCACCAGGCCACAGAGCAGGAUGCUCAGGUCUCACUCUGUAGAUUAUUGGGUGACUCCUGCUGGAACACUCAUGAGCACCAAAAUUCUCAAUGUCCUGCUUUAUCUGCUGUCUUGGCUGGGGCAUGCCUUGGAUCCAUGAAAACAUAAAGUGAAGAAAGUAUUCUUCAA